UUACCUCUUUUGGGAGAGAUCGGUUAAUCACCGACGCCGAAGGCGCAAUCCGUCCGGAAUCGCUCAGGCAAAUGGACCAUAAGAGAGAU
rnacentral:ncRNA from 2 species